rnacentral:rRNA from 1 species
GAUGAACGCUGGCGGCGUGCCUAAUACAUGCAAGUCGAGCGAACAGAUGAGGAGCUUGCUCCUCUGACGUUAGCGGCGGACGGGUGAGUAACACGUGGAUAACCUACCUAUAAGACUGGGAUAACUUCGGGAAACCGGAGCUAAUACCGGAUAAUAUAUUGAACCGCAUGGUUCAAUAGUGAAAGACGGUUUUGCUGUCACUUAUAGAUGGAUCCGCGCCGCAUUAGCUAGUUGGUAAGGUAACGGCUUACCAAGGCAACGAUGCGUAGCCGACCUGAGAGGGUGAUCGGCCACACUGCAACUGAGACACGGUCCAGACUCCUACGGGAGGCAGCAGUAGGGAAUCUUCCGCAAUGGGCGAAAGCCUGACGGAGCAACGCCGCGUGAGUGAUGAAGGUCUUCGGAUCGUAAAACUCUGUUAUUAGGGAAGAACAAAUGUGUAAGUAACUAUGCACGUCUUGACGGUACCUAAUCAGAAAGCCACGGCUAACUACGUG